rnacentral:lncRNA from 1 species
UCGAAAAUUGGGGAAUAUUCACACAAAUUCACAAACAAAGUCACAAAAUCAGAAGUUUUGUUUCUUCUUUUCGGUCUAGGUUCGGGCUCCCGGAGUUUGCGUUGGAUAGCUGGAAAAUCUUGGCAUCGAAGCCCCAUCUUGCUGCCCCAUAAAAGUUUCAACGGAAACUCGGUUUUGACCCAAAGAUUGGGUCGAUGGGUAUAGGAUCACAGAGUUCGGGGUCUAAAUUGCUAGGAGUCAAUUUGCUUCCAUAGGAAUUGAUAGUAUCCCAUCCUUUACCUUUCUCAUGACUUUCUUAUUCACAUUUGUUUCAUUAACUUUGUGUCAUUUUGAUAAUUUAUUUUAUAUGUCUUUGAUUGAAACCGAUAUCACUUUACUUUGUUUAGUUUUGUUCGAACUUUAAACCACCUAGAAUUGAUUUUAUUCGGUCAUUUUUUAUUUAUUCGUCAUUCAUAAAUAUAAUAACGGUAUAUAGUUCAACCACUUAUUUUUAUAAUUUUGCACCUACGAAUCUACCUUUAUAAUAAAUGGCAAACUCUGCUUUUUAUAAUUACAAUAUGGAAUACAUCUCUGAUUGAACAAAACAACUGGUUAUUAUUUUCGAUAUGCAAAAUAUUAAUUAACGGUUUUGUCACCUUAUCCAGAGUAUUGUUUUCCAAAUGAAUCAACAUAAGUAUUAAAUAGGUUUCAUUUAUUCCAUCCGCCAUGUUUGCAAGUAAAUAAUCCACCAACAUCGAUUUUUUCAUUCAACGCUGUAUAAUUUAAACACCUACUACAGGUCAUAUCUGCUUCUCAACUCUAUUUCAAAUUUUCAGAUUUUAAAGGCUUUCUGAACACAAGAUAUAUAUAUAUGUUAUACACUACCACAUACAAGGUAUAUUUUACUACUAUCAUUAUAAUUGCUAUUACUAUAAUAUUACCACUUACAUUAUUAUUAUCAUUGUUAUUAUUUUCACUUUAUUAUACCUAUGUAGGCUACUAUCACAUUUAUGUUUACCUUAGUUCAAUUUAAAUCUAUUCGGGUUGCACAAGCGAAAAGAAUUUUAUACCUUUUCAUACAUUUCUAAAUCCUCAUGCAUUUAUAUUUAUUUUAAAUAAAUUUUUUCACACUUCAAAAGUAUACUUUAUUUACCUUGUAAUGAAUUUUAUUCACGUAUUUAACUUUGCAAAGUCAUAAGAUCUUAUACUCGCUACUUUACAUAUUAUAACAACAGAAGCUACUACUCUCUCUCAUAAUUUUUCAAAAUAUUCAUUUAUUUAUAACUAUAUUAUUUCGUUGUAUGUGAUAGUGUUACAUCUUUAUGUGCCUUGACUACUAUUUUUUANNNNNNNNNNNNNNNNNNNNNNNNNNNNNNNNNNNNNNNNNNNNNNNNNNNNNNNNNNNNNNNNNNNNNNNNNNNNNNNNNNNNNNNNNNNNNNNNNNNNNNNNNNNNNNNNNNNNNNNNNNNNNNNNNNNNNNNNNNNNNNNNNNNNNNNNNNNNNNNNNNNNNNNNNNNNNNNNNNNNNNNNNNNNNNNNNNNNNNNNNNNNNNNNNNNNNNNNNNNNNNNNNNNNNNNNNNNNNNNNNNNNNNNNNNNNNNNNNNNNNNNNNNNNNNNNNNNNNNNNNNNNNNNNNNNNNNNNNNNNNNNNNNNNNNNNNNNNNNNNNNNNNNNNNNNNNNNNNNNNNNNNNNNNNNNNNNNNNNNNNNNNNNNNNNNNNNNNNNNNNNNNNNNNNNNNNNNNNNNNNNNNNNNNNNNNNNNNNNNNNNNNNNNNNNNNNNNNNNNNNNNNNNNNNNNNNNNNNNNNNNNNNNNNNNNNNNNNNNNNNNNNNNNNNNNNNNNNNNNNNNNNNNNNNNNNNNNNNNNNNNNNNNNNNNNNNNNNNNNNNNNNNNNNNNNNNNNNNNNNNNNNNNNNNNNNNNNNNNNNNNNNNNNNNNNNNNNNNNNNNNNNNNNNNNNNNNNNNNNNNNNNNNNNNNNNNNNNNNNNNNNNNNNNNNNNNNNNNNNNNNNNNNNNNNNNNNNNNNGCGCCUGGGCACUUGACUCAAAAGAGCUUCUGGAAACAGCUAUCUACAAAAGUGGAGUGAGGACGAAGGAUGUGGUUUGUUAUGACCCAUUGCAAGAAGUCCCACAUAGUUACUUGUCAGUAGUAACUGCAAACGUCUAGGUUGAACAAUAUAUGAACAAACAUUAGGUAGGCGUUUGGCCGUGAAAACAAAAAAUAAUUAACCUUAUUUGGAAUUUUCAGAGUUAGAGUUGUAUUACACAUUUACAAUUUAAGCAUAUUUUUUUCUUCUUUCUCGCGGUCGCUACUCAUUCGCUAUUUGUUCAACUCUUUUUUGCUGAGUUAUUCAAACACAAAAUCAUUCUUUUGCUUCAGCGACUGUUAUGCCAAUACCAUGACUCAACAAUAUGUGUAUCGAGCAAACUUGGUUUUGAAUAGGUGGACCAAUAAUGCGAUGAAACUUAACAUGCCUCCAUUGUUCAAUCGUACUCACAUCAUUCUAUAAAUAUAGCCAUUCAUAAUCAAAAUACUACAUUGAAGUCCACCAGAUGAACGAUAAGAACCUAAUUGUUCCUACUAACAAAGCAAGUCUAGUAUAAAACCUUUUUGCCGAGGGAGCUUGGAGUCUAGUGCAACAACUCGACCCCUCGUUUUGAGCAUCUGUGUACAUAGAGACGAGCAGACAACCUUCGCAUCAACUGGAGCUUCAUUUGCGGAUACCAACACCAGCGCAGAGCAGACGGUCUUUCUUGCUAUUGUCUAUCCUAUAUAUUUUGUGAGAGUAUCGAAUUGCCAGUGUCUUGCAUAUGCAAAGAUCUUCCGGUCCAACCUCCGAAAUUGUUCUCUUGAGCUUGUUUUCGGGAUCAUCACGACACAGAAACACCCCUAAAGAAGUAAUCCUGAAAGAAAAAGCAGGCAAAAACGGAUUACAAAGUGAGUAAUCGAAUAAACAUACUAGACCUCACCCCUACCGUAGAGGUAGAAGGCUAUUUCUGAUAGACCGUCACAAAUUUUCUUCUCACAGACUAAAGGAAAAACCUAUCGAGAGAUUGAUAUAUAACUUUUUUUGUCGAUCUUACUCAUCGAGGAGAAUUUGUUUCCAGAAAUUUGUUGACGGUACAAAACACAUACAGCAUUCAGACAAAGCUCGUCAUCCGUAUAAAAUGCAGAACGAAAAUCGUCUUCAGAUGACCAUUCUAUACCCGACCUAUCCCCGGGAUUAACCAAUUCUGGAAUAAAUGAUGUCAUUUGACCAUCAUUCGCGCUUCUUUUUCUCUUUCGCGUCGAAUUAGAGGAGCCUUUCACGUGCACUUCCUUUUUCUGUCCGCGACUUUUUGAAGCAUGAGCAAUUUCAGUUAACGUCAGUUCAUCAUCACUAUCGUUCAUUGUAUGAACCAGCAUAGUUUCUGGUUCAUCUGACGCUUCACUCAAGACUACUGCUUUACAUGCUGAUGGAUCUGCAAGAAGAUUAUAUGCAAUAACAUCUUAAAUUUUCCUCUUUUAAUAUGAUGCACGAAACUUAUCUGUCCAAUAAAAGUACGAUAGCCGCCAAUCUAAGUCACACAAAAACAACAACUUACCAAGUAUAAUCCUCAUGUACACUGACCUUACCUCUAUCUUUUGCGAUAGAGAGGCUGUUUAAGAUAGUUCCUUGGUUCAAAAGAAAGAAAAAUGAAUCACGUUUGCAUGAAAACACGACAAUAUCCUAGUAGGAUACAAAGCAACUAAAAGGGGAAACCAAGAGAGACGAGAAAGGAAAAAACUAACUGCAGCAAAGUGGCUAAAUGGACACAACGUGUAACAGUGGAUGAAGUGGAUGUAGCAAGUGUUUGUCGGAAUUGCUUUCUACUCGAGAAUCUACUGUUUCUUUUUUCAUUUUUCGUGUGUGUCUGUGUGGUUGUGGUGUGUUAUUUUCAGUAUAUCAUGAAGAAUCAUCAGAAAAUAUCAUACCUAUAACCGUUUAACAGAACAACAAUAACUACUAUACCACAAUCCAACGAGUUGACGUCGGCUAUAUGAAUCCUAAUGAAAUAUCCACAUAAUACAAACAGAUCGUAACAACAAGAAGUUGCCUAUAUCAGAAAACCGUUAUACCUUUCUGUCUCGAUUGGCCAUUGCUAUUUCCGGUUGAGGUGCCAACAAGUUUCAGAUCAUCCAAAAUCACGAUUGCCCGAUCUUCUCCCUGAGUAGAUUCCACGUUAUUAGCACCAUUCGCACCAGUAGCUUGAAUGCCUAUUUCCACCUCCAAAUCUAUAGCAAAUUUUCAGAAAACACACACAUCAAGAUAAAGAAUUUUCCAAAUUAGUUAAAUAAUUGAAUGCAACAAAUAACUAAAACAGGUUUUGCAAAUGUAGUAAAAUCAAGAUAUACUAUCAACACACAUUAUGAAAUGAUACGUAAAAAGACAUAAAAGGGCAUCCCGGUGCACUAAAGCUACCGCUAUGUGCGGUGUCCGGGGAAGGACCCCACCACAAGGGUGUAUUGUACGCAGCCUUACCUUGCAUUUCUGCCAGAGACUGUUUCCAAGGCUUGAACCUGUGACCUCCUGAUCACAUGACAACAACUUUACCAGUUACGCCAAGACAUAAUAACAACAAUACCUUCAUCAUUUUUUCUCUCAUUUUCCACCAUAAGAGAAACUUCAUCCCUCAACUCUCUCAGUUUCUCCGCGUAGCAAGCCACGCUUUCAUUUUUCGUGUUCUGAUAAAGAAAUAGACCUUGGGCCUAACUCAACCUCAAAAGCUAGCUCAUACAGAGAGGAUUGCCCAAGACCAUAUAAGGAGACCAAGGACGGUUUAACCCACUGAUGUGGGACUCCAACACCCCCCGUACGCCCAUGGCUGGACAUCUGGAGCGUGGAAAAAUAUAAGAUAGGGGGCCAACAUCGGAAACAAUAAACUAGGUGGGCCUGGAUCUGAUACCAUGAUAAAAAAAUGGACCUUGGGCCUAACUCAACCUCAAAAGCUAGCUCAUGAGGAGGAGGAUUGCCCAAGCCUUAUAAAGAGACCACCCAUCUCAUUAACCAUCAAUGUGGGACUUUCUCUAUUUCUUUUAACACCCCACUGCACGCCCAGACCUCAACUGGGCCCAGACCUAAACUGGGCGUGGACACAAUCUCCCUGAUAUCUCAAUUUGAGGGCCAAACAUUGGGUGAGAAUGGGCACUGCUUUGAUACCAUGUUAAAAUUGGUCUUGGGCCUAACUCACACCUCAAAAGCUAGCUCAUGAGGGGAGGAUUGCCCAAGACCAUUGUAACACCUCGUAAAAUUCAUGCAUGUGUUAGCCUCUAGUAGUAUGCUCAAAGAGUUGAAAGGACUUGAAAAUUUUUCUAAGUGUUAAAGAGACUUAGUCUUAUUUUUUUUAGCUUCUAAACUUUGAGAAAUUUAUUUUUGACCUUUCCGACCUUCAAUUUUAAAUUUUCUUGUUGAUUCAUGAUUGGGAAAGUUGAUGGUGCAUAUUGAGUGAGUUUCGGCAUUUUUGGAUGUUGUUUAGGGCAUGUUUGGAUUCCCAAAAUAGUGGCAUCAUGCGAUAUGCAUGCGUCACAUGGUCCAACGCACGGUGGAAGCAUGCGAUAUAGCAUGCGUCACAUGCUCCAGUGCGGUGGGAAAUAGCCUGCGACGCAUGGUCUGCUGCACGCCUGAAAUUUUCAGCAUUUAAGCUCCGUCACAUUAAGGGCAUAUUGGGUGUUUUCCCACACCCUUAUCAGCUCAAGCACAAAAUUUCAACCCCAAUUGAGCAUAAUAUUCAUACAUUCACCAAAAUUACUCAAGAAAUCUCUCAAGGGUUUCAAAAUAAAAACCCAAAUUACUUGAGAUUCAACCGUGAGUUUUAGAAGACAAUUAGAGAUUCGGAAUCCCUACUCCGCAAGCUUCAAGAAUCACCCAUUACUUUCUGAAAUAGAGGUACGCGUGUUUUUUUCUAAAAUCUCAUGGGUAUUGAAAUCAUGGUUUUAAGAAAGAGGUUUUUAGAUUUAUGAAUAUAUUCAUGUUUUAGAAACAUUAAUGAUAUUGUUUUGGUCUUUAGGCCUUCCCCAAAUUGAUUUGAAUUGAUAUAUGUAUAUAUGUACAUGUUUUAAUGUUGAUGAUUGAAUUAAGAGCAUGAUUCAUGUGAAAAUCCCUCUCUUGUUAUGAUUUUCCUUACUUAUCAUAUGAUAUGGGUUGUUUUUGAAAGGCAUCUUGAAAAACAUGUUACGAAGUAUCUUAAUUUAUGAAUGAUUUGGUUAUGAAUCUUGAAUUCCAAAGAGAGGGUUGUUUAUAUUGAAAAAUUUUGAAAAUACAUAUAAUGAAGGAGUGCAUGGAUUUUUCCUAAAGCACAUGACCACCUUAUGUUUGAAGAGUUCUUGCAUAGUUUUGACUUAUGCUUUCGGAACAUGAAACCUCUUAUAACAUUUGCAUGUUUGGGUGGUCUGAACUAUGUUUUAAUGAAAAAAUUAUGCAUGGUGCAUUAUGACUCAGAAAUAGGACUUGCAAGUCUUGGUGUGUCGACACCAAUUCGGAUUAUGUCAUGGUAAUUCAGAAUAGAAUACAAAGCAUGUUUAAAGUUAGAAUUUUCAGAUGUUGAAACUAGAAUAAUGCAUGAUUAAGAACAUGAUAAAAAUUAGGCAUAAAGAGAGCGUAGGUGGUUCCCCGAAGAAGACAUGAGUUCAGACAACUCGUUGCCCAAAGUCGUGAUUUUUCGAUUCGGGUAUAUUUAUUACGCUGGCCUUGUUCUGUGUGGCGUAUCAGAAUCAGAAACUCCAAUCCUUGCGGCACACUCGGGUUGAGGACUUCCCCGCCGAGUCAAUGGCGGAUUCCAUACCGCCCAUGGAAUAUUAGAAUUGUAGGGGAGUGCCACCUAAUUCAAAAUUAAUACGAAGAUCAGAACUACAUUGUCAAGAAUGAUUUAUGACUUUUCAGAAAAGUGCCCAUAUAAUUUGAAAACUAUUUUAUGUAUGAUGUUUUGACAAAUUGCUCUCUAUUAUUUUAUUUAUAUAAAAGCUUUAUUUUGGAUUACUUUGUGUACCAUUACAUCUCUAUUAACCCUUCCCUCCUCCUUCCAGGUUCUGAGGCUCAGUCUAGGGUCCAAAAAAGUAGUAGCAUUUAUCAGACAGAUUUGCAGUGUCCAGUUGGUGAGCCUUCUCUAUUUCGGAAGGCCUGUCUUAUCAAAUUAUGUCAUUUAUUUCUGUUUUGGUCUACUGGGGGCCUUAUCCCAGUUUCAGAUAGUUAUCAGAUUUUCUUGUAGUAGAAAUUUCGCAGACCGAUGUUCGAUGUUAUUUAGACGUAGUUGAUCUACAAUCUCCAUACUUAUGUUGAUUUCAGAAUUGACAAUGUUUCCGUAGUAAAUUAUGUUUUCCGCAUUUUCUUUAUUUAUAUGACUAUUGUGCAUGAUUACCAGAUAGAGAAGGGCAUUCCAUUCCUUCAUGAUUCUGGAUGUCUGUCACAGCCAUGUAACGCCUCGCAUUUCGGGCUACAAUAUAGACCAUGAUUUUGAUGUGUUGAUAAUCCCGAAGCCAUAAAAUCCUAUGCCAAUACGGAAUGUUAAUUAUUUAUGUAGCAUGUGAAUCCAUUAAAGCUUAAAUUUAGACCAUAGAGGUCCUUCAACUCAUGGAUGAGUUGAAACUAUUUCGAUCGACUAAGUUUUAGUGGACGUUGUAAAGUGUGUCAGCUUCGAGUUAGCUUUCCAACGAUACCAAUUUUUUUAAAAUCCGACACCCGAGCAAGAAGUUAUGGCCAUUCAAAGUGAUAUGAGUUGCCUAACCAAUCGCCCAUGGCCACUAGAAAGCAUCGACGCUAGCCUAUGUAAACAUAGACGAUAGCCUAGGAGGCGCCUAUGGGAUGGGCGGCUCCUAUGUAAAGAAUUCAAGUGACUUAAACACUCCGUUUUGGGGACAAAGUGGUCUAUUCCACCCUUACUUAGCCCUAAAACAUGAAAUUCAGUUCCAAGGACCCCAAAAUACACCUUCAUUCAUCAAAAGUGCUCAAAUAUUCUCCUUAGGGUUUCAAAAUAAAAACCCAAGCAACUCGAGAUUCAACCGGAGGUUUUAGGAACAAAUUGCAUAUUUGUAAUCCUCUCAGUGUAGGCUUCGAGAAGCAUCUAAUAUUCAUAGUAAUCAAGAUACGUGGGGUUAUCCUAAAAUCUCAUGGGUGUAGUUUUUAUGAACAUGCAUGCUUUUAAAUGGGGGUUUUCAAUUAAAUGCUAAUAACUUGCUUUCAAUAUGAUUUCUAAGUCAUUUUUCUUUAUGUCAUGGGAAUUGUUUGCCUAUAUACUUCAAUGGUUGAAACCAUGCAUAUGUGAUUUGAGAUUUUCCAUGGAAGUUUGGUAAAUAUGAAUGAUAAACUGCUUUCAAAUUCCCAUGAUAAUGUCUUGAUACCCCAUAUCAUAUUGUGAUCAACAAAAGAGAGCAUGAAUUUGAAAUAAAUAUUGUUCACCACUUGUAAAUAAUGAAGCACCUUGAUUUUUACAUGAUUAUGCGUAUGUGGAAGUGAUAUUGAGGACUUGCAAGUUGGGUAUGACGAUACCCUACAGAACAUGAUAUGUGAUUGAAUCUAAGAAAAUUUGAAUGCAUUGAUUUUACAUGAGAAAGGUGGAUGCUCAAAGAAGGCAUUUAAGUGUAAGGUCUCAUCACUGGAAAACAUGUUUGCUGACACGAAAUUUCAGUACCAGGCUAAGUGAUCUUGUGUACUUGACUUUAUGUCAUUCCCAAAUUGGGACUAUAGGUAGGAUCCCGGGCUAAGUGAUCUUGGGAACUACCAGUGGGUCGAGACACCAUGCUUUGUGGUCUUGAGUGUCUCUCCCUCACUUAUACUCUAAUCGCAGCGGCAACCGAGGUUAGACAGUUGGUGUAAAUUAUGCAGGGUAUUCCACCUAGCUCAGUUGCAUUUCAUUGUUGUUGAGAAACUAUUGCAUUACACCCAUGUGUUUUCAAAUGAUUUGAUACGAAAUUGCUUUAUAAUGUCUCUCAACUAUAUUUUGUAAAAAUAUUAUAUUUUGUUUUGAUAUCUCUGCGUGCCAGUACUUUUGUGCUGACCCCCUUCCCUCUCCAAUCUCUCAGGUUCAGAGGCCCAGUCUAGGGGUCAAGAGAAUUAGUAGAUCAUUCAGACAGAGUUGCAGAGACAAGUGGUAAGCCUUCUAUGUUUCAGAAGGUCUAAUGUCCAGUAGUCCUUUUAUCUUAAAUUUAGUUUUGGGGUCUACUGGGGGCCUUGUCCCAGUUUAUAUACAGUUGCUUGACUCAGUCAUUUGUUAGAGAUUUUCGUAGACAGUUGUUUAGAGGUUGACUGAUAUUGGGGGAACCUUAUCUCCCCGUUAUUGUUUCUUUUCAUAGUUAUGACCAUGUUUCCGAAUUACUGUUUUUCUUCUGCAUUACUUUGAUCAUAUGAAUUAGGUGCAUGAUUACCAAAUAGAUAGGGAUGUUUCGGGCCUCUAUGGUUCAAAAAGGUCGUCACGGCCAGGCCCUGGUUCAGGUUGUGACAAAAUUGGUAUCAAAGCAUGGUUCAUGGUCCCAGGGUGUUUGCAAAAUUACGUCGGGUAGAGUCUUGUUUAUGGGUGUGUAGCGCGCCAUACUUAUAAGCAUGAUGGUACUAGGCGUUUAGGAAAUUUUUCCCUUCUUUGUGAUUUAGUUCGUGCUUUAGAGUCUGAAUGUCCCCUAAUCAAUGAUCACUUGUGUUUCAGAAACACAGUUAUGCCUCCACGUCGUAUCAUCUAUCAGAAUGCUCAGGCAGAUGAGGUCUGUCCCACCCAUGGGAUGCGGACCCAUAACAGGGCUCACACUCCAGAAUUUGUCCCUACUCUAGGAGUCCCUUCAGUCCCGACCAGUCUACCUCGGGCUCUGCAGACUAAUGCCAACCGUCUCCCAACUGCUUAGGGAGAUAUUUCAAAUGCAGAAUUUAGACGGUCCAUUCAUAUUCUGACACAAUUGGUAGCUAACCAGGCUUAACAAUCGAAAGAUAUUGGGUCUGCAUCUAUUAUGUCUGAGGCUACUAUAGUCGGAUAUUUCAUGAAGAUGAACCCACCUAAGUUCACUAGCACCAAGGUGGAGGAAGAUCCACAGGUGUUCGUGGAUGAGAUAGAAAAGAUCUUUAAGGUGAUGCAUGUGGAUGAGGUUGAAGGGGUGGAGCUAGCAACCUAUCAGCUCAAGGAUUUUGCGAAUCAGUGGUAUACCGAUUGGGAAGAUGCAAAAGGUGAAAGUGCUGAGCCCACAGUUUGGGGCGAAUUUGUGGAAGCUUUUCUUGAUCGAUUCUUUCCUCUGGAUUUGAGAGAGACCAAAGCAGAAGAGUUUAUGAAUCUGAAGCAGGGCAGUAUGAGUGUCCCGGAGAACACUUUGAAGUUUAAUAAACUAGCCGGCUAUGCACCAGAGUUGACUAGUAAUAUGAGAUCCCGAAUGAGGAAAUUUGCCUCUGGCCUUGCUGAUAACCUAGUACUUGAGUGCUAGGGGGCUAUGUUGAAUAAGGAGUUAGACUUUUCUCGGCUAACCGUUCAUAAGCAGCAGGUGGAAGAGAAGAAGAAAAAGAUUACUGAAUCUAGAGAGAAAGACAGACAGAGUAAGAGAGCUAGAUCUGCGGACCAGCGCCAGAGUCAGCUGCAGAGUGGUAACUGGGGUAAUAAGUGGUCGAAGAAGAAAAAGUUUUGGAAUAAUGCACAGUCAGCAGCCAGCGCCCCAACACCUAGACCACCGACAGAUAGACAAACCCAAAUUUUUCAGACUCCUUAUGGAUCCAAAGCUCUAGGUACACAGUCUCAGGGCAGUGUGACCCAGCAGCAUCGUACUUAUCCACGGUGUGAGGUUUGCGGAAGGAAUCAUCUAUGGAAGUGCUAGUUUGAGGGGAGAAACUGCUAUACUUGUGGCAAAGUGGCUCAUCUUCAGAGAGAUUAUCCUUCUGCUGGAGAAAAUAUGGGGGGGGUAAGUCCCAAGCCAUCUCCACAGCUCCUUUUCCUAAGGGUGCCCCUUCAGCUGCCGGGAGCGGUCGCAACUGGUUAUAUUCUUUGACUAACCGCCAGGAGGCGAAAGCUUCACCAGAUGUUGUCACCGAUAUGUUAUAAAUCUUUUCUCGUGAUGUUUAUGUGUUGCUUGAUCUCGGGUCUACUUUAUCUUAUGUGACCCCUUAUGUGGCUGUUGGUUUUGGGUUUGAGCCCAAAGUUAUUGUAGAACCCUUCUCUGUUUUUACUCCUGUAGGUGAUUCUAUUAUUGCUAAAAGGGUGUAUGGAAAUUGUGUCGUGUCUAUUCAUAGUAAGGAAACUGUGGCAGACCUUAUAGAACUGGAUAUGAUAGAUUUUGAUGCCAUCCUUGGGAUGUACUGGCUCUAUUCGUAUUAUGCCACCCAUGAUUGUAGAACCCGAAAGAUCACUUUUUCUUUCCCGAAAGCGACACCAAUUGUAUGGGCAGGGAGUUCUGUGGAACCUAGAGGUCACUUUAUCUCUUAUCUUAGAGCCUGAAAGCUUAUCUCCAAAGGUUGUAUGUAUCAUCUAAUCUGAGUAAAAGAUUCAAAAGUUGAAAACCUUCCUCUGCAGUCAGUCCCUGCAGUGAAUGAAUUCCCAGAAGUCUUUCCCGAAGAUCUCCCAGGAAUACCCCCUGAUAGGGACAUAGAUUUUGGCAUUGAUGUGUUACCAGACACUCGUCCUAUUUUUAUUCUGCCAUAUAGAAUGGCUCCCAUGGAACUAAAGGAGUUAAAGGAACAACUUGCAGACCUCCUAGACAAAGGUUUUAUUCGUCCUAGUGUUUCCCCAUGGGGUGCACUCGUGCUCUUCGUGCAAAAGAAGGAUGGGUCCCUUCGGAUGUGCAUAGACUACCGCCAGUUGCCUAGGAUUGACGACCUUUUUGACCAGCUUCAGGGUGCCAAGUGUUUUUCAAAAAUAGACCUUCGUUCGGGUUAUCAUCAGUUGAAAGUUAGGGAGUCAGACAUACCAAGACAGCCUUCCAAACCCGAUAUGGUCACUACGAAUUUCUAGUCAUGUCCUUUGGGUUGACUAACGGCCCUACAACCUUCAUGGAUGUUAUGAAUAGAGUGUUCCAUCAGUUUUUUGACAUGUUCAUCAUUGUAUUUAUUGAUGAUAUUCUAAUCUAUUUUAAGAGUAAAGAGAAUCACGAUAAUCAACUCCAAAUUAUUCUUCAGACCCUUAAGGAUCAUCAACUGUAUGCCAAAUUUUCUAAGUAUGAAUUCUGGUUAGAUACAAUUGCCUUCCUGGGGCAUAUUGUGUCCAAUGACUGAAUAAGAGUGGAUCCCCAGAAAGUUGAAGCAGUGAGAAAAUAGCUUAGAUCCAUGAUUCCAAUCGAUAGUCGGAGCGUCUUGGGUUUGGCGGGGUAUUACAGAAGGUUCGUAGAGAGUUUUUCUUCCAUAGCUGCUCUGCUUACUAAACUGACUCAGAAAAAGAUGAAGUUUGCGUGGUCUGACUUGUGUGAAAAUAGUUUUGAGAAGUUGAAGGACAAGCUGACUACUGCUCCUGUUUUGACCCUUCUCGAGGGUGUAGAUAAUUUUGUGGUUUAUUAUGAUGCGUCCCGUGUGGGACUUGGUUGUGUAUUGAUGCAGCGUGGUAAGGUAAUAGCUUAUGCAUCUAGGCAGUUAAAGGUGCAUGAGCGCAAUUACCCCACUCAUGACUUGAAGUUAGCAGCCGUGGUGUUUACACUUAGAAUCUAGAGGCACUAUCUCUAUGGAGUGCAUAUUGAUAUUUAUACUGACCAUAAGAGUUUGCAGUAUGUUUUCUCACAGAAAGAAUUGAACCUCAGUUAGAGGCGUUGGAUGGAGCUUUUGAAAGACUAUGAUAUGAGUCUGCAUUACCAUCUGGGCAAGGCAAAUGUUAUAGCCGACGCCCUCAGCAGGUUGUCUAUGGGCAACUUUGUCAUGUAGAAGAAGGAAAGAAAGAGAUGGUGAAGGAUAUUCACCGCCUUGCAAAUCUUGGAGUGCGACUCUUAGAUUCCAAAGAUGGAGGGGUGAUUGUUCAUGAGUUAGCUAAGUCAUCCCUUUGUGCUGAAGUUAAGGAGAAGCAGGUUGAAGAUCCCAUCUUGAUGCAAAUCAAGAAAGAUGUGGGUCAACAAAAGGUUAUGUCAUUUGAAAUUGGUGGUGAUGGUAUUCUGAGAUUUCUAGAGGUAUGCCAUUCACCCAGGCUCUACUAAGAUGUACCAUGAUCUGAAAACCUUGUAUUGGUGGAAUAACAUAAAAUGUGAUGUAGCUGAUUUUGUGUCCAAGGGUUUGAACUGUCAACAAGUGAAGGUAGAACACAUGAGGCCAGGUGGUACUUCCCAAGAGAUAGCCCUUCCUUUAUGGAAGUGGGAGAUGACAAACAUGGACUUCAUUACAGGACUUCUGAGAUCCCGAAACUAGUAUGAUUCUAUAUGAGUGAUUGUUGAUCGGUUGACAAAGUCAGUUCACUUUUUGCCUGUGAGGACUAAUUAUUCGUGAGAGGUUUAUGCUAAUAUUUACAUUGAGGAGAUAGUUUUAUUGCAUGGGGCACCAGUGUCCAUUAUAUCCAAUAGAGGUACACAGUUUUCAUCUCAGUUCUAGAGAUCUUUUCAGAAGGGUUUAGGUACACAAGUAAAUUUGAGCACAGCUUUCCACCCUCAGACGGAUGGGCAAGCUGAGCAUACCAUUCAGAACCUCGAAGAUAUGUUGAGGGCAUGCGUCAUUGAUUUCAAAGGUAGUUGGGUAGAUCAUCUGCCACUGGUUGAAUUCUCUUACAAUAAUAGUUACCAUGCCAGCAUCAAGAUGGCUUUUUUUUGAGGCUUUGUAUGGAGGAGAUGUAGGUCUCCGACAGGAUGGUAUGAAGUGGGUGAGACUCAGUUGUAUAGGCCUGAUCUUGUUCAUCAGGCGAUGGAGAAAGUGAAGAUCUUUAGAGAAUGACUCAAGACUGCUCAGAGUCGUCAGAAGUCCUAUGCCGAUGUUCGGAGAAGACAACUAGAGUUUGAAAUUAGUGAUUGGGUGUUUCUAAAAGUUUCUCCUAUGAAAGGAGUUAUGCAGUUUGGAAAAGGGCUAAAUUGAGCCCUCGCUAUGUAGGGCCAUAUUAGAUUAUGAGAAAGAUUGGUACAGUUGCUUAUGAGCUAGAAUUGCCUGCAAGUUUGGGUUCCGUUCAUCCCGUAUUCCAUGUAUCCAUAUUGAAGAAAUGCAUUGGAGAUCAUUCUGUGGUAUUGCCAGUAGAGGGUAUCAAAGUAACAGACUUUUUGUCUUACGAAGAAUAGCCCGUUGAAAUUUUAGAUCACCAAGUUCAAAAGCUGAGGAGCAAAGAGAUAGCCUCAGUAAAGGUACUGUGGAGGAAUCAGAAAGUCGAAGAAGCAACUUGGGAGUUAGAAGAUAACAUGAGAAUUAGAUAUCCCAUUUUGUUUGCUUUGAUGGAGGAUGAGAUAGAAGGUACUAUUCCUAUCUUAUCUUUCCUAGUCCUUUAUUAUGCUUGAAAUCGUGUCCGCCUGUGUCCCACAUCAUCAUUCGGGGACGAAUGAUCCUAAGGGGGAUAAUGUAAUGCCCUGCAUUUUGGGCUAUAAGAUAGACCAUGAUUUCGAUGCGUUGAUAAUCCCGAAGCCAUAAAAUCCUAUGCCAACAUGACAUGUUAAUUAUUUGUGUAGUAUGUGAAUCCAUUCAAGCUUGAAUUUAGACCAUAGAGGUCCUUUAACUCAUGGAUGAGUUGAAACUAUUUCGAUCGACUAAGUUUUGGUGGACGUUGUAAAGUGUGUCAGCUUCCAUCGACCAUAACUCUCUGUAUAUGUAGAAUUAGGAAUCCUACUAUGUGUCAAAUGAUAGGUAUUCAAGUUAGCUUUCCAACGAUACCAAUUUUCCUAAAAUCUGACACCCGAGCAAGAAGUUCUAUAUUUCGGAAGGCCUGAUGUCUGUCAGUUCAUUUAUCAUUUAGUAGUUUUGGGUCUACUGGGGGCCUCUCCCCAGUUUUCAAACAGUAAUUUAUUUCUGUCAUGUAUUAGAGAUUUCGCAGACGGUUCUUCAUAUGUCGAUAGAUGUUGUGGGACAUUAUUUCCCGUUUGUUGAUUUUAUUUGAUUUAUGACCAUGUUUUCCAUAAUAUUAUGUAUCUUCCACAUAUCUUAUUAUCAUAUCAAUUAUGUGCAUGAUUACCAGAUAGAUAGGGGUGUUUUGGGCCUUCAUGGUUAGGAAUGCUCGUCACGGUCAGGGCCUCGGUUCGGGUCAUGACAAACUUAUCAAAGCACGGUUCAUGGUCCCUGGGUGUCUGCGAAAUCGUGUUGGGUAGAGUCUUGUUUAUGGGUAUGUAGCACGCCACACUUAUAAGUAGGAGGCUACGAGGCGUUUAGGAAUGUCUCUCUUUCUACAUGUUCUAGUUCGUGCAAUAGAGUCAGAAUAUUCCUCUUUCAUAUUCUAAUUCGUGCUAUGGUGUCGCCCAUAUGAUAGUAAAAAAAAA